ensembl:lncRNA
AUCUGGACAUCUCUGUGCACCUAUAGUGUUCUGAAGGUGAACAGUGCUGCCUGUUCAGGUGCCUCAGACCCCCAACAUCUCAUUGAGAACCAAAGCAGGCAGCCUGGCUUUGUUGUUCUGGAAGAGCUGCAGCAGCGUCUCCAUGAGAACCCUGCUCCUCCUGGGGGCACAACUGUGGGAGUGAGCCCUGUGCAAGACCGAGGUUGGUUUGUGCAGUCUCAAAAUGAAGCAAGAUGCCUCCUCCAAAAACACUGAGCAAUGAAAAACAUGAUCUAUUGGGUGAAUUGUGAUGGCACAAAGCCCUGUGCUGUGCAGGUGCCACUUGGCAAACUGGUGUCUAUGAAAGGUCCUGUGUGACCAGGUGAAUUCUUCACCUGUAACCUUAUCACACAGACGAAGUGGGAGUGUGAAGGAGGGGGAUCCCUCUGCCAUGGGCUGGGGAAUGGAAGGUGGUGCCUCACUGAAGUCACACAACGAAUGUGUGGGUGCCAGAUGUGCCAGAGACAGGAGCUGAACGCAGACCUGAGUGCCAGCCCAGCACACAGCAUUCAUCGUUGUCCAUUCUCUCAAAAAGAAAAAUCAAAGGCAGCUUUCUGGUUGAUUCAGCUGCCAUAAAAUGAUGUUUCAGAGAACCCUACAGGCUUCCUAGUGGGAAAGACCCCCCUUAUGAAUAACUGAGUGUGCUCUUCUGCAAGGUAAUAAUAAUCGGAGUGACUUUUCAGAAGAGGAUGUUGAAGCACGUGUCUGAAUUGGCUUCCAGUAACACACAAAAGUCUGUGUUAAAAGAAAUUACUGACUGUGCUCUGUACUGUGAUGAUAUUCAGGUAUCAUCCCUUAAAAUUUUCUUCAUUACUUUUCUCCCAUUCUUUGAUGCAAUUUUUAAUUUGAUCUCUAGUGGAUACAACUGACUUGAUUUAUUGAUUUACAAUCAAAGCAAGCAACGAAGGAAUUCACUUUAGCAAGGAAAUCAGUACCUUAAAAAUAUGAGUAAAAACCUGUAAUUCUGAAGACCACAAUUUUUGGAGAAUAAAUGACAAUGGGAGUUAAUGUAGGUCUUUGGAUUAAACCAAAAGCCAGCUCUGUUGAACCAAGCACAGCAUUCCUAAUCUGACAUGUUGACAGGGACACCCCUGCCUAUUCCAAAAGAGAGUUCGGAUGAAGCCAGAUUUAUCGUGUGUUCCCAACAGGGGCUGGGCUGACUCUAAAGGAAGCUAUGCAGGCCAAAAAUAAACAAGAUACACAUGAAGUAGUUUGUGCCAUCAGGAAAUCUUCCAGGGGAUAUGUGGAGAGGAGAAGUAAAGCCAGCAGAAAAGCAGCUUAAGAUGUCUUUCCCCUUUCCUCAUUAUGCCCUAUCUCUGUAUCUUCACAGAGCGUAAAUCAAGGUUUCCUCCCCAGGAGAUCUCUUGCCCUCAUAUGCACUUUCUUUGCCCCUGCUUCCCCAGGAAAGCAACUCUGUGUGCUGCUCCUUCCUGACACAGCAACCCCCUUUGUGGCACUUGCAGGGAAGUGCCUCUGGAGAUGCUCGGUGCCGAAGUGCUGCUCCUGCAGCUGCUAGCAUUCAUACUUGGUUAUGGACUUCUGCAAGAGCAGGCUGGGGCUGGACAGCCAUGCUUUUCCCAGGAGCAUAUGUGAAUGAUUUGAAUUAUGUAAUUAUGAAAAAAAAUGUAGCCUUUUCCAGCCGCAUUUACUGCAAGCAGACACACAGUCACAGUAAUUUCAAAUAUCGGGACAAGAAACUUUUGCAUUUACAUUCUGGCAACUGGAGCCAACAUCUUAAUCUGCUAAGAGACCCCAGGAGAGCUGUGCUGGUGGCACACAUUGUUCACUGCUCCGUGUCUGACCAAAGUCUGACUUGAACUUUGUAAUUUGCUGGAGUGGAGUCACUAAAUUACACACUGCCAUGAGAUAUACAAUCCCACAUGAGGCACAGAGCAGCUCCUUAAUACGACAGCCUUCAAGCAGGCAUGAGCUCAAAUACCACUGCAGAGAACAAAGCUUCCCAGUGUUAGAUACAGCAUUAGAAGUUCUACCUCGUGAAACAUUAUGGACUAUAUUGUCAGAGGAAAUCCAAGUUUGUGCCCAUAAUAAUAGCGUGCCUGGAACUCCCUGCCAAAGAAAAAGUCUGUGCAGCGAUGUAUAGACAAGCAACAGUGCACACAAAAAGGAAAGCUGUAGAGUGUCUGCUUUACAAAUGCAGCCCUGGGGUUUCAGAAGUGCAAGACAUACAUAUGCAGAAUGGAGACAGUUAUAGGCUCCUUGGCAGUGCAGACUGGAGUAUAAAAUAUGGGUCUCGGAAGGUUGCUUUAUAGCCUGAACUGAAGAUUUCGCAGCAGCCUUAGCAUUCUGUUUGCUGUAUCUUGGAAAUCAGAAAUGUGCAGUUCCAGAGAUGUGUGUUGCCUUCCAACUUGCUAACAUUUAAAUUUUCUGUGAGUCUCUCAUCACCCAAAUGACAGCAGCCCAGCUCGUCCAGCGCUGUGUUAUCGGUAGUGAUAGCAGGACUGCAGUGCUGUGAGUUGUGAGGCUGCAGAUUAGUGGUGUCACUUGCAGCAGUGACAGCUUGUGCCAAAGCAAGGCAUAGAGCACUUCCAUCUUAUAGAAAACUAUUGGCACAUAAAAUUGGCAAGAGAUAAUCAAUAAUUGUACAUGCACAUUAACAGCAGUCACACUGCUUUAAUAGCACUUGUAUGUACUCAGCCAAAGAAGAGGUUUUCAUUAGAUAGAUGUAGAUAGAUAUAAAUAGAUGUAUCUGUAUCUCUCUGGGAAUAGACACAUAGGUGUAUGUGUGUAGAAAAUGCACAAAAUCACAGCUACUUGGUCUUGUCCUUUUGUCAUAAUGUCUGACAGACAUUUGUCCCAGU